CUCCCCGGGCCGGACUCGAACCAGCGACCGAACGGUUAACAGCCGUUUGCUCUACCACUGAGCUACCGAGGA
rnacentral:tRNA from 1 species